AUGUGAGAUAGAAGCCCUCAUUCAUAGGCAAGUCUCCUAGCAUCCUCUUCUCCACGGCCCUUGGCGAUGAUGAGAACAAUCUCUGCUCUCCCCGGCUGCUGCACUUGGGCAGUGGGCAUGACUGGGCCCGAGAGAGAGAGGUCAGUGUUUCGCGGGAAGGAUUCAGGCUUUGGUGCUUCAGGGUUUUGAGGGCAAGAGACUUCAUAGCAAUUAGAGCAGCCGCAGUCUUCCUCUCGAUACUGCUGUGCUGACGAUGAGGACUGGCUUAGCCCUUAAUCUGGGCAGGGGCAAGACUGAGUUCAGCAAAGGGUCAGAAGUGAGCCCGGCUGGGUGUGCCUCUUCUCGUCCCAGAGCCUGUGUUCCCAGCUAAGCUUUCUGCUGCUGGGGCAUCUGCAAGAGAAAACAUUUCAACAUCGAGAGAAACAGUUAAUUGUCUUGUAUUUAAAAAAAAAAAAAAACAACUGAGUAAAGAAGGAAGAAACAGAGAGAUUCUUUUUGUGGUUUGCUGAGAUUCCCUGGAAAGCAAGCUUAGAAGGCCAGGGUCUUGUCAGAGCCUGAGAGACCAAUGCUCACUCCAGAACUUGUGUAAACAGAAAUGCUUAGCAAGCUGACAAGAGUUAUGGGAGGGAAGCAGGAUUUUCAUUUUGGUUCCAAGUAUUUUCUAGCCUUGACCUUUAGCAUAGAAGCAGAGCCUAGCUGAUCUCUGUAUUUACAAUAACCCUCGAGGAGACACAAUGGAUGAGGAAAGAGAGGGGGGAUACAGAUCGGUCGCCAUGUACCUGUGGCCUCCUCCACAGGGUAACAGCAACAAAGCUCCUAACCCCUCCUUGUCCUGUGAUUUUUCUCUUUGAUACCUAUCAUUUUGAAGAUGAAGGCCCAGCCUUGAAAAGGUAUAGUGACAACUUUGACCAUUUUGGUUUCUUUAAAAGACACAGAAAUAUUAUAAAAAUGUGCGCUUUUGUUUUAAUCCCAGGUGUUGGGAUGUGGGGCUGCUUCGCACUGUUCGAAGCCACUCACUACGAUUCGCCUCGUGCUCUCGCAGAGGUGUGGUUUUGCCAGCUGCAGAUAGUUUCCGGGAUUGUGUGACGCUUGGAAUUCUGGGAGCUUCUCAGAGGGUCUAUAAAUGCUAGGACACCGAGAAACACAGGGAGGGUCAUUUAGGGAGGUUGGUUGUGGUUCGUUAGUAGCCAUGGUCAAAGAAGAAACAAAAGGAAAGUUAAUUAGAUUCAGGGACUUUCCUAACUCCUUUCUCCCCUCCAGUCUUCUUUCUCUCCUAUCUAGGGAUCAGGGUAAAAUCUCCCCUCCAGUCUUCUUUCUCUCCUAUCUAGGGAUCAGGGUAAAAGCAGAGGAAUAAAGACUGGAACAAAGGAGGGCCCACACUGCAGCAAAGGCCAGCUACAAAGGUGGCGAACAAAGACAAACCUUCUCUUUCCCCUGCAGUCUAGCGAUGAAAUGUGAAGUGAGUGUGAUUUUCAUUCCCCAUUCUCCUGAUUUUUACCUUAAAAGAAAAAAAAAAAAAAGAGGUCUAAAGAGAUCACAUAGCACUCAAGUCUGCGUGUUGCUUCUCUCAAAACACCUGACUUCUGUACCCAGCACUCAUCUAGGGUGGCUCACAACUGCCUUUAAAUCCAGCUCAAGAGAGUCCUGUGCCCCCUUCUGGUCUCCACGGCCAUCUGCAUGCUUAUGUGUAUGGUCCCUGACAGACACACAUGCAUAGGUAAAUAAAAAUGAAAUCUUUUAAAUUUUUAA
rnacentral:lncRNA from 1 species